AACGCGAAGAACCUUACCAGGUCUUGACAUCUCCUGACAACCCUAGAGAUAGGGCGUUCCCCUUCGGGGGACAGGAUGACAGGUGGUGCAUGGUUGUCGUCAGCUCGUGUCGUGAGAUGUUGGGUUAAGUCCCGCAACGAGCGCAACCCUUGAUCUUAGUUGCCAGCAUUCAGUUGGGCACUCUAAGGUGACUGCCGGUGACAAACCGGAGGAAGGUGGGGAUGACGUCAAAUCAUCAUGCCCCUUAUGACCUGGGCUACACACGUGCUACAAUGGAUGGUACAAAGGGCUGCAAGACCGCGAGGUUAAGCGAAUCCCAUAAAACCAUUCUCAGUUCGGAUUGCAGGCUGCAACUCGCCUGCAUGAAGCCGGAAUCGCUAGUAAUCG
rnacentral:rRNA from 2 species